rnacentral:rRNA from 1 species
AGCGAACGCUGGCGGCAUGCUUAACAUAUGCAAGUCGCACGGUUUGGGUAACCAAGCAGUGGCGGACGGGUGAGUAACGCGUAGGUAUCUGUCCAUGGGUGGGGGAUAACCUUGGGAAACUAAGGCUAAUACCGCAUGACACCUGAGGGUCAAAGGCGCAAGUCGCCUGUGGAGGAGCCUGCGUACGAUUAGCUUGUUGGUGGGGUAAAGGCCUACCAAGGCGACGAUCGUUAGCUGGUCUGAGAGGAUGAUCAGCCACACUGGAACUGAGACACGGUCCAGACUCCUACGGGAGGCAGCAGUGGGGAAUAUUGGACAAUGGGCGAAAGCCUGAUCCAGCAAUGCCGCGUGGGUGAAGAAGGUCUUCGGAUUGUAAAUCCCUUUCGGCGGGGACGAUGAUGACGGUACCCGCAGAAGAAGCUCCGGCUAACUUCGUGCCAGCCGCCG